GUGGGGAAUAUUGGACAAUGGGCGAAAGCCUGAUCCAGCCAUGCCGCGUGUGUGAAGAAGGUCUUCGGAUUGUAAAGCACUUUAAGUUGGGAGGAAGGGCAGUAAGUUAAUACCUUGCUGUUUUGACGUUACCGACAGAAUAAGCACCGGCUAACUUCGUGUCAGCAGCCGCGGUAAUACGAAGGGUGCAAGCGUUAAUCGGAAUUACUGGGCGUAAAGCGCACGUAGGUGGUUUUGUAAGUUGGAGGUGAAAUCCCCGGGCUCAACCUGUGAACUGCCUCCAAAACUGCAUGACUAGAGUACGGUAGAGGGUAGUGGAAUUUCCUGUGUAGCGGUGAAAUGCGUAGAUAUAGGAAGGAACACCAGUGGCGAAGGCGACUACCUGGACUGAUACUGACACUGAGGUGCGAAAGCGUGGGGAGCAAACAGGAUUAGAUACCCUUGUAGUCC
rnacentral:rRNA from 1 species